GUGCUCGCUUCAGCAGCACAUAUACUAAAAUUGGAACAAUACAGAGAUUAGCAUGGUCCCUGCGCAAGGAUGAAAUGUAAAUUCAUGAAGCGUUCCAUAUUUUU
ensembl:snRNA U6 U6 spliceosomal RNA